UACGUAGGGUGCGAGCGUUGUCCGGAAUUACUGGGCGUAAAGAGCUCGUAGGUGGUUUGUCGCGUUGUUCGUGAAAACUCACAGCUCAACUGUGGGCGUGCGGGCGAUACGGGCAGACUUGAGUACUGCAGGGGAGACUGGAAUUCCUGGUGUAGCGGUGGAAUGCGCAGAUAUCAGGAGGAACACCGGUGGCGAAGGCGGGUCUCUGGGCAGUAACUGACGCUGAGGAGCGAAAGCGUGGGGAGCAAACAGG
rnacentral:rRNA from 1 species